rnacentral:lncRNA from 1 species
UUUCCCUUUCCUCUCUCUUUUCUCUCAUUUCCAUCAGCCAUCAAUCUCCAAAACCUUACACAAAGUUGUGCAAGGUCACUCGAAAUCAAUUAGAAACAUCUCUUACGUCUCUCUAUCGAGGAAUCCAACCGGGUAUUUCCUGUCUCAGCACUCAAAAUUCAAAACCCAAUUUUGGAACCCUAAGCUCAAAACAUCGUUGGCCUGAUUUCUCCUUCGUUCUUUCAAAUCUAACUUACAGAUUUGUCUGCUUUGUCCCUAGGUUAUGAAGCUAUUUGAUUUCAUUUUCCAUUUUUGUUGAUUAGAUUUGAAACCCCUAAUCUGAAACCUUAGAAUCAAAGAGGCAACUUCAAAUCUCCAGAUUUCCUUCAUGUUCUAUUAAAUCGGAGCAUGCAUGAGCACAUUUCAGAGCCUCAUCAUGAUUAUUCGAAGUCCAGAGGUCAAAUGCAAUGAUAUAUGGACAUUGGAGGUUUGACCGAUGGGUUUUGCCUUCAACGGUCAACCCUCUUCACUUAGAAAAAUUUGUUCAUCAUUUCCCCCUCUGUCUCUUAGAUUUUAUCACUCAAUUUUGCUACGAUCAUCAAUCUUUCGUCACUUUCCACUCAUGAUUUUGAAUCCAUUGAAACUCUAGAGCCUUAAUGGCACUAUAAAUAGGGCCUUUAAUGUUCUCACCUAACAUCAUCUACACAACCACCUAACACUGAGGAAAAAUACACUAAGAACAUCCGAUAAAGGCAUAAAAUCAAUACAAUAGUUGUAGAUUUUCUUCGACUAAGGCUAAGCUCUUACUCGAAUUCUGAUUUUUAUUCUGAGGUGGUCAUUUGGUUGAAGUCUUCUGAUUUUUCGGAUCCUAAACGGCAAAACAAGCUCUUCUUUGGUCUGCUGCCCUCGAAAAGGUCAGCACACCUCCAACUCCUCUCUCUUCUGAUCAUCUUAUUUGAAUAUUAUGAAUAUGCUUGUUGUCUUCUGUGAACUAUAGUCGUUUAUGAUGCUUAUAACUAGUAUAGAAAUGUUAUUUAGUUUAUGAUAAGAUGUCUGCUUAUGAUCACUUGUCAUGCUUCUAAGUAUUUAAUUAAUGCUGAUCAAGCUAUUAUGUGACCUCUAAUGACCUUCAUUUUCGAGUAUAAAAAGUCUACAUGAUUAUGUUUUAAUGUGCCUUAAUGACUUCUCAUGUUCACUUAGAUUUAAUAAUUUCUAUUGAUGAUUUUGUUGUGAUCUCAAUCUCUACACACUAUUUUCCUGCAUCCUGUUGCCUUAUGGUCGAGAUCACUGUCUGAUAAUCCUCAUUAGGACAAAACCUGAGAGUUCAUAGUUUACACCCUUCACCAUUUAACUGAAGUCUGAGAAAUGCAAGUGUUUUAAACGCUCUCUUCCUGUAUAUCCGUGUAUGUUAAUUCUGAGAACAACUUUCUAAGUCUUCUUUAUUAUGUUCAUGUCUGAUUGAUUGACUGCACAUAUAUGAGAUACUUUUACUAACCUAAACUCUUAGGAAUACCAAUAAUCCUUCCGUACAUACUCUGUUAAGGUUAAGUUAUCCAUUUUCAUAACAAUAGGUCAUAGUUUUUGUUUGUUAAAGUUGAAUAGUAAUUGCUGUUAAUAUAAAGAUAUUUUUCUCAUGUUUAGAUAUAAAAUCUCAGUCUGUAUAUCUGAGUUGAACUUAUUUUGGCAUAACACUUUCUUUGUCUAUAACCUUCUCAUGACAUUGCUGACUUCCUUUGUAAAAUCAUAAAGUAUCUGUGCAUAGUUGAUGUUAUAUGUUUCCCUGUUUUGCCUUCAUGAUUACAUGCCUGUGUUUUAAAAUAGUACUUAGCCCUCUCCUUACUGUCAACCUGAGCUGUAUCAGAUCUUUAAAUCUUAUGAAAAGUUCUUCAUUGAUCCUACAUGAACAUAAUAUUUUAUUUAAGGUUAACACUGUUAUGAAUGUGGUCCUGUUGAGCACCUUAGGAAUUCCAUAUUCAAUUCUGUGAACCUGUAGUCAUAUUGAGAGUGUUGAUCAUGUUUCUGAUAUCUCUGAUAACUUUUGUAAAAGAGGUUAGUUGUAACUGUUUGUUUGAUCCUUUAUUGAUGCCCUUUUAAAAGGUUGCAAGUAGUGUUAUUAACCCAUGCAUGUAUUGGUGACAAGACCUGAGCUAAUCAACCUAUAAUUAGUCUAUCGUGGUAGAAAUAUUUAUAUUUUAGGGUUGCUUCACACCUGAAUUCUGUAUUCUUUACCUUUCCUUUGAAUGUAUUUCCCCAUUAUUAGACAUUUAACAAUAUGCCAUGAUAUUUCUGUUUCUCUCUGUAACGAUCCGACCAGUCAUUUUAAGCUCUAGCACGCCAUUCAGCAGUUUGAGGCCAUGAGCAGCUUCAUUUCAGGUAUUAUGACUUGUACGCAUUGUCGGAAUUGAAUUUUGGGUUGUUCGGAGUUGAUUUGGAAAGAGUAUUCUCAUUUCAGAAACUUUAAGUUGAAAGAAUUAGCUAAGAUUGGAUUUUUGAGUAAACGACCUCGAAAUUGGGAUUUGAAGGUUCCAACAGGUUCCUAUGAUGAUUUCGGACUUGGGCGUAUGUCCGGAUCGGAUUUUGGAAGACCCGGAAACGUUUUGGCGCCUAUUGUGGAAGUUAUCAUUUUGGAGGAAUUUCAUAAGUUUGGGUUGAAGUGCAUUUCAGGGUAAUCAAUGUCCGUUUGGGAUUCUGAGUCUGGGAAUAGCUUCGUAUGAUGAUUCUGGAGUUGGGAGCACGAUCAGAAAUGAAUUCGGAGGUCCGUAGGUCAUUUUGAAGUCAUUUGGCUAAAGAUAGAAAUUAGAAGGUUUUUUAGAAGUUUGAUCGAGAGUUUGACUUUUUGAUAUCGGGGUCAUAUUCCAAUUCCAAAAGUUGAAGCAGGUCUGUAAUGUCGAAUAUGACUUAUGUGCAAAAUUUGAGGUCAAUCGGACGUGAUUUGACGGGUUUCCGCAUCGAAUGUAGAAGUUUGAAAUUUCAAACUUCAUCAAGUUUGGAUUGGAGUACGAUUCAUGAUUUCGACGUUGUUUGAUGUGAUUUGAGGCCUCGAGCGAGUUUGUAUCAUGUUUUGGGACAUGUUGGUAUAAUUGGUUGAAGUUUCGAGGGUCUCGGGUGGAUUUUUGAAGGCUAACGGAUCGAUUUCGGAAAUUUGAAGCUGCUGAAAAUCUACUGCUUUUUCUGCUGCAGUUGCUGUUUUGGACAGUAAUGGUGCAAUCGAGGAGGCUACUUUAAAAGCUUAUAUCUCGAAAUCCAUAAGGAAUCUGAAAAUAUGCAAAACAUAAAAGUUGUUGCCCUUGCAUUUUAGUUUCCGAAAAGUUAAACCACUUAUGAUUUGGACAUUUUAUCAGAAAGUUAUGAUCGAUUUAAGAUGGUUGGUGGAGCAGUUUCGACAGAAUUUUCUGAUGCAUAGAGCUGACUUUAGAAGCUCAUAUCUCGUAAUAUAUAAAGAUUUAUAUGGUGUACAACCUAUAAAAUGAAAGAUCUUCGAGUCUAGUUUCUAUAUCUUCAAAGCGUUUGUCAUUUGGAUAUUUCCACAAGGAGUUACGGGCGUUUUAACAGAAGGUGUAUACCGAGNNNNNNNNNNNNNNNNNNNNNNNCUGAGGGUAUUUUGAUCAACUUUUCGAGCGGAGUUGGGAAUUUAUAUAAUUUGAAUUUUUAUAAGUAUUAGAGUAAAUUUUUAUUGAUUGGCCCGUUGUUUGAAUAGUUUUGGGCAUUGUGCAUCAAUUGGAAUCUUAGAAGGGCUUGGAAGCCGGUUAUGGAAAUUUUAGAGCGAGGUGAGUCUCCUUUCUAACCUUGUAAGAGGGAAUUGUCCCCAUAGGUGAAAUAAUUGGUCAUGUGCUCCUAUUUCUGGAGGCUACGUACGCACGAGGUGAGGAGAGUCCGUGCGUAGCUACUAAUAUGUGUAAGUCCGGGUAGUCUAGGACCCAAAAGCAUACUACACUUGGAAUAUCUGAAAUCUUGUUGGCAGUUGAAUUGUUUAAAUCCUAUCGAAUUAGUAAAUGAAUUUAUAAAGGAUUAAACUUUAUUUUCUUAAAUCGUUAAAAAAGAAUUGGCUUUUAUUUGGAUAAAUAUUCCCCGAUAAAUUCUUAAUUGGUUGUUUGAGCAUGUAUUUCUAUGUGUAUCUGCGUCGCAUGUAUGAUUCGUGAGCAGAGUGAUUGUUUAUUUAAAUGUGACCACGUCUCAUGUAUGAUUCGCGAGCGGGGUAAUAAAUGCAUCUAUGUUUUGCGCCGUUCGACCCUCGGCAGUGCACAUUUUACAUUUUUGUUGGAUCGGGCCGUACGACCUCGGCAUGAUUUACACAUUCUUGUAUUGCUUGCAUUGAGAGUUAUUGAUAUUGAUAUUUGCUCUCCCCGACUUGAGAUAAUUGUUAAUUAAUGGAUUAUAAAUCCGGAGACUUUUAAUAAAAAGGAACUCUUACCUGUUUCAUGACUUAUUUGAAUUUAUUGUUGUUCUUAAUAAAUUCGUGAUUCAUCGCAUUAAUAAUAUUACUAUUGGACUACUAGCAAGUGUCGAAGUCGACCUCUCGUCUCUACUUUUUUGAUAUUAGACGGGAUACUCAUUGGGUAUACGUUGUUUUCAUACUCAUACUACACUUGCUGUGCAUUUUUGUUGCACAGGUUCAUAUGUGGCUAGUAGCUUAGUGGCAUAGCAGCAUAGUUGAUAUGGAGACUUAGGUAAGCUGCAAUUAUCGAGACGACCCACAGCCAGCAGAGUCUCCUUUAGAGUAUUGUACUGUAUUUUCAUUUCUGUCUACUUAUAUUCCGGACAAUUACUGUAUUUUACGUCAUUCCCUAGUAAAUGCUCAUGCACUUGUGACACCGGGUUCUGGAAUGAUUAUGGGG